rnacentral:rRNA from 1 species
UCUUGACCUCGGAUCAGGUAGGGAUACCCGCUGAACUUAAGCAUAUCAAUAAGCGGAGGAAAAGAAACCAACAGGGAUUGCCCUAGUAACGGCGAGUGAAGCGGCAACAGCUCAAAUUUGAAAUCUGGCUCUUUCAGGGUCCGAGUUGUAAUUUGCAGAGGGCGCUUUGGCAUUGGCAGCGGUCCAAGUUCCUUGGAACAGGACGUCACAGAGGGUGAGAAUCCCGUACGUGGUCGCUAGCCUUUACCGUGUAAAGCCCCUUCGACGAGUCGAGUUGUUUGGGAAUGCAGCUCUAAAUGGGAGGUAAAUUUCUUCUAAAGCUAAAUACUGGCCAGAGACCGAUAGCGCACAAGUAGAGUGAUCGAAAGAUGAAAAGCACUUUGGAAAGAGAGUCAAAUAGCACGUGAAAUUGUUGAAAGGGAAGCGCUUGCAGCCAGACUUGCCUGUAGUUGCUCAUCUGGGCUUUUGCCCAGUGCACUCUUCUAUAGGCAGGCCAGCAUCAGUUUGGGCGGUUGGAUAAAGGUCUCUGUCAUGUACCUCUCUUCGGGGAGGCCUUAUAGGGGAGACGACAUGCAACCAGCCUGGACUGAGGUCCGCGCAUCUGCUAGGAUGCUGGCGUAAUGGCUGUAA